rnacentral:rRNA from 1 species
CGAGGGGCAGCGGGGUUGUAGCAAUACAACUGCCGGCGACCGGCGCACGGGUGAGUAACACGUAUGUAACCUGCCCUCUGCAGGGGGAUAAGCGGAAGAAACUCCGUCUAAUACCGCAUAAUACAAUUUGGAGACAUCUCCGGGUUGUCAAAGGAGUGAUCCGGCAGAGGAUGGACAUGCGGCGCAUUAGCUAGUCGGCGGGGUAACGGCCCACCGAGGCUACGAUGCGUAGGGGUUCUGAGAGGAAGGUCCCCCACACUGGUACUGAGACACGGACCAGACUCCUACGGGAGGCAGCAGUGAGGAAUAUUGGUCAAUGGGCGGAAGCCUGAACCAGCCAAGUCGCGUGAGGGAAGACGGUCCUAUGGAUUGUAAACCUCUUUUGCAGGGGAGCAAGGCGCGGUACGUGUACCGCGAAGGAGAGUACCCUGAGAAAAAGCAUCGGCUAACUCCGUGCCAGCAGCCGCGGUAAUACGGAGGAUGCGAGCGUUAUCCGGAUUUAUUGGGUUUAAAGGGUGCGCAGGCGGACUGUUAAGUCAGCGGUAAAAUGUCGGUGCUCAACACCGGCCGGCCGUUGAAACUGGCAGCCUUGAGUGAGCGAGAAGUAUGCGGAAUGCGUGGUGUAGCGGUGA